AUUGAACGCUGGCGGCAGGCCUAACACAUGCAAGUCGAGCGAGCGGCGGACGGGUGAGUAAUGUCUGGGAACCUGCCCGAUGGAGCGGGAUAACUACUGGAAACGGUAGCUAAUACCGCAUACCAUCGGAUGUGCCAAGAUGGGAUUAGCUUGGAGGUGAGGUAACGGCUCACCUAGGCGACGAUCCCUAGCUGGGCUGAGAGGAUGACCAGCCAAACUGGAACGGAGCCGAGGUCCAGACUCCGACGGGAGGCAGCAGGGGGGAAUAUUGCACAAUGGGAGGAAGCCUGAUGCAGCCAUGCCGCGUGGAUGAAGAAGGCCUUCGGGUUGUAAAGUACUUUCAGCGGGGAGGCGUUACCCGCAGAAGAAGCACCGGCUAACUCCGUGCCAGCAGCCGCGGUAAUUC
rnacentral:rRNA from 1 species